rnacentral:lncRNA from 1 species
GUGGGAUGGGGGCAGUUGAGGGGUGAGAGGAAGAGGACAUUGCAAGGGGAUUGAGUCGCCUGCCCCUCCCGGGCGGGCUGGCCUAUAACUGAAGGCAUCUUCCAGGGAUGGAAGAUCCCUGCACGACCCUCUCCUUCUUCCUGUCAGUCCCCCUCCACAAUUUCUCCUGGGUGACGGUGCCACUCCUGAGGAACCCCCAAGCCCCUCCCUCACUUGUGUCUGUGUGUGGGGGAAUAUUUUUAAAACCCUCUGAGUUAUCCCCAUUUGCAUGUGCUCUCUGUUUCUCAUCAGGUCUCCUACUAACCCUGGACCCACUAGCAGACCCGCUGACCCUCACGGCGUCUCCACCUUGAGAGUGUUCUGGAAGGGCAGGAGGAAGCCAACACCAGCCCAUCUGUUGCUGGAAUAACAUCACUUUGAUCCAAGGUACUUAUAUAACUUCCAUAUGGUUGUUUAUUAUUAAGUGCAUUAAACACAUACAUAUACACACUAC